ensembl:lncRNA
CCUCAGCUGUAAAGAAAGCUGGAGAAGGAAAUGGCAGAGCAGUCCAGUUCCUUUUCUAAGAAGAUCCUAGAAGGGGUCACAAAGAAUCAGAUACGACUGAAAAGCAAUAAGAAACGAGAAGAUGAUAUUUGUGUGUACAGUACCUGGUAAGUUGUAAAACAUACAUUUUUAGCUAUUAUUAUUAUUGUAAGAUUAAAAAUUAAUAUUCAAAUACUCCAAGUAUUAUUUUUAUAAGGUUUAAUAAUAAUAACUUGAAGCAAAGGAAAGAAUAACUUCAGUCAAGAGAAAGUUUCCCAGACCAUACACUAGGGAGAGAGUGCAGAGCGCCAGAGAAGCCCCCAGGGCACUGUUUCCAGCACAUUUAUUUCCCAAACCUAAGGACCCAAAGUCAGGACAUAAAGGAAAGGGAUGCUGGGUAAUGUAGUUCAGGGGUCUGAAAUGUCUAUUUUACACAUUAUGAAGCAAGAUCAGAGAGGAGAUAGACGAGAUGGGAUCCAAGCCAGAAGCACACAGGUAGGUAUGGUUAUGAGGAGGGCUCUGUCCUCUGAGACAAUGUUUGAUGGAAACAGGAACGUUUCCUCGUCUCAUAAAUGGAGGAGGAGAAAUCUUCUUUAGGGAGGCAGACUUGGAGUUAAAGGCUUGAGGUAACAAGACAGUUCUUGGACAAGAGUUUAAGGAAUCUUAGAGGUUCAUGGGCUUUGGAAGAGAAGAGACCUUGAAGACAUCUCAUCCAGUCCAAGCGUCUCACUCUACAUGAGGAUGCUGAGGCCCGCCGAGUCCAGGGGAUUUGUGUAAGAAUGAAUGAUUACUACAUCCUCAACUGAGCUCCUGCUCUAACUGACAAGGGCACAAGAAGGCAUUAUCCAGGCACAUCCACUGUCCUAAUCAGAUCCAUUUCCAAGUCCCUGCUCCAUGGACAAUUCUCUUUCCUCAUUAAGAGGGAAGCUUAACUGCCUUGUGGCUUUUGUGACCCACAGAUGGCAAGCGCGCCCAAGGCCGCAGAUCCCAAGGAUCAUGACAGCUCACAUUUCAAUAGUGCUUCGCCAUUUACAAAGCAUUUUCCUUUAGAUAACUCUGAAAGGCUGAGAGUGGAGCUUGAAGCUGAUGAAGCUUGUGGCGCUUAUGCCACAGGCAUAGCAGGUCUGCAUUUCAGCAAAAUAUUCAACCAAACAUCUCACACAGUUCCUGUAACCAAGAAGAAGAAAUGUGGGUUAGAUUGGGAGUUCUUAACCAGGAGUCUGGCCAUUUCCCCCCUAAAUGUUUUGAUCCACUGAUACAAAAAUAUCUACACCACCCUUUUUGUGGUGGCAAAGAAUUGGAAGCUGAGGGGAUGUUCAUCCAUUGGGGAAUGGUUGAACAAAUUGUGGUAUAUGAUGGUGAUGGAAUACUAUAGCUCUAUAAGAAAUGAUGAACAGGAUGAUUUCAGAAAGAAAGGGAAAAACCUACAUGAACCGAUGCAGAGUGAAAUAAGCAGAACCAGGAAAACAACGUACACAGUAACAGUAGUGGGGAACGAUCAAACGUGAUAGACUUCACUAACAGCAAUACAAUGAUCCAGGACAAUUCUGAGGACUUAUGACAAAGAAUGCUGUCCUCCUCCAGAGAAAGAACAGUUGGAGUGGGAAUGCAGAUGAAAGCCUAGGAUUUAUCAUUUGUUUAUUUGGGUUUUGGUUUUAUAUGAUUAUUCUCUUACAAAAAAGAACAAUAUGAAAAUAUGUUUUGCAUGAUAAUACAUGUGUAACCCAGACCAAAUUGCUUACCAUCUCUGGAAAGGGGGAAGGAAGGGAGGGAGACUAUUUGGGUCAUAUAAUUUCAGAAAAUUUAUAUAGAAAUUUGUCAUUAC